UUUAAGACCCUUUUGUGAACGAAUCCAUCACCCCACACCCCAUUUUUUUACCAUUUUAGCUCACAAUCCUCCUAUACUCUUUUAUCACGGAUGCAUGCAAGAUAAACAACUCCCUUACCCAAAGAUGGUCUUGCUAAUUACCCAUUUUUAGUAGGAUUCAAUAUUAAGAGCUAGGACAUAGAUUCUUACCUUUAAGGUGAAGACUUAGAGAUCUUUCCUUGAUAAUAUUCAAAGUUUUAAGCAAUAAUUGAAGAGAAAUUAAAUGAAGAUCAACUUCUCACUCUAAAGCAUCAGAUUUUGCUCAAAAAUAACCCCUUGCAUCUAUUUUAUCGAUGCAGGGUCGGGUUAUAAAAUCCCCAAAAUGAAGCCCUGGAAUAGUAUGCGACCCCAUAAUGCUUCUGCAAUCCACGAAAUUGGCCAUAUAAUGGCUCUCAGGAGCUGAUUUUUUUCUGCUUUAGUCUGCGACCACUCUACGUUCCCCAGAUCUAUUCUACAGUCGCACAAUGCACAAAAGAACCUCCAUCUAACAAAUCUCAAGGAAUGAUGCCCGAUCAGAGUGCAGCCCGUGGAAUGGUUUUGCAAUUGCAUAACGGGCCGCGAAAAUGACAUAAAAAAUAACCCAAAUGGCUGACUCGCUCUACGGCCAUUCUACGGCUCGCAGAGUGAUUCUGCGACUGUAUAAAUUCCAUAUUUUUCCCAACAUUUUUCUUUAACUCCUCAAUGCACUGUUCAACCCAAAAUGUCUGAACUGUGGUGAGCUUCUAGAUUUAACACAUAAGCCUAUCUCGGCACCACAAGAUUUUUAGUUUUUAGGUGAAAUUUUAUGCGGCCUUACAUUGAUAUAUAUUGGGGCGAUGUAUAAGAAAGAUGACAAGCGUAUAUGCAGGUGCCAUAGUUUAUCCAUGCUCAAGAUACAUCUUAGGCUACUUUAUGCCUUGAUUUGAUCAUUGUGCAAAUUAUGACAUCCUUUAAAUAUCGGUAUGACUACAUUAGCUCUAUUAAUCAUGCUAGAAGAUAUGUUUAAGCUUAAGAUGCCGUGUUGAUCAUAACUGGCUAUUUUUGACAUGAUGUGUUACAUGCUCUAUUCAUGACAUCUAACUGUUGAAUGACAACGUGGUCAUUCUCAUUCAUAUUAGACAUUAUCGUCUAGACUUUUGAUGCUUUAUUGGGACAUGAUGGUUAUUCAUAUGACAUAUUAUAUGUUCUAGUUAUAUUCAUACAUUACACAUAUUCAUACAUCAUGCAGAAAAAUCAUCUUUUGUACACAUGCAUAUAUCUCAAUAUGGUUAAUUCUCUAUCCAUAUGCAUCGUACAUGUAUAUCUCUUAUUCAUAUGCAUACAUCCUUGUAUAUGAUUCUCUAGUAUGUGUUAAGAAGUUGAGAUAAUAAUGGCACAAGGUUUAUGCCGUGUGGUUAUGGUGAUACUAACAUUGUUAUGGCACGAGGUUUAUAUCGUACAGCCUGUAGAAACGUACUCAUCCCCCUAGGGUCACCCUUCCAUGUUUCUCUCUUGGCAGCGUACAUGCAGGAUUUGAGAAAUCGAUAAGUUUUUGGUUUGUUUGUGUUAUGGAUUCGAUUGAUAGGUUUUGAUCACAAAUGUGAAAGAUUUAUUUUUAUUGACGUGAAUCCUUUGUUGGCACGAGGUUUAUAUCGUACAGCCUGUAGAAACGUACUCAUCCCCCUAGGGUCACCCUUCCAUGUUUCUUUCUUGGCAGCGUACAUGCAGGAUUUGAGAAAUCGAUAAGUUUUUGGUUUGUUUGUGUUAUGGAUUUGAUUGAUAGGUUUUGAUCACAAACGUGAAAGAUUUAUUUUUAUUGACGUGAAUCCUUUGUGCGAAUUCAUGAAUUUUUCAUGCUUUAUUGACGUAUAUCUUCUACAUAUACUAGUUGAUGCAUCUUACAUAUGCAAAUUACUUGUUAGUGAGUUGUUGGACGCUUAAAGGGUGUCAGAUUGAUGUAAAAGAAGAGUAUUCAUCAUACAUUGACAUGGCGGACUCAUGUAGAGGCUUUCAUAUAAAUGUUAUUGGAAAUUGAUGUGAAAUUGGAUCUUUAUCGUGUAUAGACUCUCUAUAUUCAUGUAAAAGUAUUUGAGUAAAUUUACUUGGUUCAUAUCUCUUUUACAUGCGAAAUUGGUGUCAUUAUAUUUGCUUUAACUUAUUUAGUUGGAAAAACAUGCUUCUUACUGUUUUCUUCGAUUGUGCACCUUUAUUAUUGAUACUCAUUAUUUCUUAAGUUGUUUCUUGGUUAUAUCUCUGUUAUUUUAUAUUUUUAUGAGCUGUAAAGGGUUUAUAAAGUGAAUAGCUUUCGACUAAGCUUCGUUGAUAGGUUAUAUGUGUGUCGCUAUUAUGUUUUGAUGAUCUAAUAAACUUAUUGUUAAGAACAAGAUAAAGAACCUGUUACACAUCCUCAAGAACUUAAGAUCAAUAAGUUUCCAGUUGGAGACACAAUUCAACUCUUCAGAUUCAAAGGAACAGUAGAAAGAACAACUGAGGGAAAAAGUCCCUAACAAUUCCCGAGGUGACUAUACAAGUCAACUCACCCAGGCAUAAAAUUGCUGCUUGCACACGCUACAAUGCAGAAACAGUGCAGUAGUUAACUUUAUGGUGAAUGAGCUUCACCUAACAUGCUUGCAUCAUCUAAGUGAUGAAACUAAUGAGAUACUAACAUCAAGCAAAGGUAACACAAAUCACUUGCACAUUCAAGAACUUAUCAAGCAUUCUCUCAAUUGUGUGUCCAUAUUACAAGUGAUUCUCAAGGGCAUCAAGAACAAAGAACAACAUAGCAGUGGAGCAGUUCCCCAUAUUGAGUUAUUAUAUGUCCUUAGUUGUGUUGUAUCUUUGUUGAAGUUCUUACUUGUAAUUCCUACUUAGCUUACUUAAAAUCAUUGUGUAGGAAAUCUUAUGGAAAUCAUAAACCCUUAUGUUUAUGUCUCUACUAGAGUUAGUCGAGUUGUGAAGUCUUUGUAAUAGACUUAUUACAAAGUGUCUUGUAAUGGUGUUGUUACAAGUUGGUGAAUGAUUAAGUCUUUGUGAUAGAGUUAUUACAAAGUGGCCUGUAAUAGUGUAACUACAAGUUAGUAAGAGAUUAAGAAGUUAAUUCCUAGGUUACAAUAGGUUGUAAUCUAAAGAUUGCUUAGUAGUGAAGUUGAAAUCCU
rnacentral:lncRNA from 1 species